rnacentral:rRNA from 1 species
UAGCCGUAAACGAUACUCGCUAGGUGUCGGCCACGGUGCGACCGUUGUCGGUGCCGUAGGGAAGCCGUGAAGCGAGCCACCUGGGAAGUACGGCCGCAAGGCUGAAACUUAAAGGAAUUGGCGGGGGAGCACCUCAACGGGUGGAGCUUGCGGUUUAAUUGGAUUCAACGCCGGAAAUCUUACCGGGACCGACAGCAACAUGAAGGCCAGGCUGAAGACUUUGCCGGAUUAGCUGAGAGGAGGUGCAUGGCGUAGUCGUGU